rnacentral:rRNA from 1 species
AUACGGAGGGUGCAAGCGUUGUCCGGAUUUAUUGGGUUUAAAGGGUGCGUAGGUGGUUUUUUAAGUCAGUGGUGAAAGCCUACAGCUUAACUGUAGAGGUGCCAUUGAUACUGGGGAACUUGAGUAUGGACGAGGUAGGCGGAAUUUGUGGUGUAGCGGUGAAAUGCAUAGAUACCACAAGGAACACCGAUAGCGAAGGCAGCUUACUGGGCCAUAACUGACGCUGAGGCCCGAAAGCGUGGGGAGCAAACAGGAUUAGAAACCCUAGUAGUCC